rnacentral:rRNA from 1 species
UCGAACGGCGGCACGGGGCCAGGACGCCUACGGGAGGCAGCAGUGGGGAAUAUUGGACAAUGGGCGAAAGCCUGAUCCAGCCAUGCCGCGUGUGUGAAGAAGGUCUUCGGAUUGUAAAGCACUUUAAGUUGGGAGGAAGGGUAGUAACUUAAUACGUUGCUACUUUGACGUUACCGACAGAAUAAGCACCGGCUAACUUC